rnacentral:lncRNA from 1 species
GGAAGUUUAGGAACCAGCAAGUGAUUUCCACAAAUGUCAAUAGUAAGUACCGAUUUUUCAUUCAUCUGUCGUAAGACUGUGAGCUUUGACCUCCACUGAAAGCACAUUAAACAUCUCUAACUGGACAUCACUUGUCAGGAAGGGAAGCUGCAGAGAGUCACUACAAAAGCUUACUUCAGACCGAAGUGGAAGCAUGAAUUGGGUGUUCAAAAGAGGUUUCCUAUGAAAGCUUCUGAAGGUGUACCUCAUUUAUCAUCCCAAUCACACCAUAGAGGAAUGUCAUUUUGUCAGCACACAGUUUUAAAUCCUGAUCAUAGCCAAAACUCCUGAAGUCAGAGUAUGUAUUUGUACUCACCAGUGAAAUUAAAAUUGAGAACUAUUGCUGGUAUUAGAGGCCAUCACAAGCUGUUCGCUGACCAGUAAGAAAGACAGAUGAACCAUAUACCACUGAUCUCACUCAGAGGUUCUCCUGCUCCACAAUGAGGAAACUGAAUGGCCCUGCUAAAAUGUUGCUGCACACGAAUACAAGCCUUAUCUCCUGUUCACCUGGAGGCUUAUGGAGAUGCUGACAGUGUUCUGCUUGCUGGAUAGGGGAAGUUCUGUAUUGCUAAUCAUGCGUGUAAAGAAAAGGCAUAGCUGCAUCCUCCUUUAAGGUUUCUAUUUGUCUCAUGAUGAACUCCUUCCAUUAAGAAAGCAACUGCCUCCACACAGUUUGUCUAGUUUCAUUUAGUUAUGCGAGAUACGAUCAGAAGAUGUAGACACUGGAACAUUCUGGAAGUAAGAUGAUAAGGGAAAAGUGACAGUGAUUACUGGUGAUGACUGAAGUGCCUUAGAGCUGACAUACAUCUAUCCAAGUGCACACAGAAAUGGUGCUCUUCACAAAUAAAGAAUUUCCAAUGUCUUGAGAAAAAGGAGACUCUGAAAAGAGAGGAGAAAAAAGAAAAGAAAGGAAAGGAAAAGGAAGGAAAAGAGAAAAGAAGGAAAAGAGAAAAGAAGGAAAAGAGAAAGGAAGGGAAGGGAAGGGAAGGGAAGGGAAGGGAAGGGAAGGGAAGGGAAGGGAAGGGAAGGGAAG